rnacentral:lncRNA from 1 species
AUUUACUACAAGACUAAAAGAUUUGAUAAUGGAAAAUAUCUGCAUAAAAGCUGAGCCUCAGGAAACAGUGGCUUGUGAAGAUGUGCCGUUGUACUUCACGGAGCAGGAAUUGGCCAGCUUGAGACUCGAUGAGAAAGCGCUGUACAAGGAGGUGGUGCUGGAGAACUUCCUACACCUGGCUUUUCUGGGGUACAUCUCAAAAGUGAGGAAGUAUGCGCAGCUGAUUGAGGCAGAGGUGUCCAGGGUGAAGGCAUUCCUCUAAGCCAGGAAGACAUGGCCGAGUCACUGCUGUCCAGUGGAGGCCUCUCUGUAGCCAAG